CCCUAGCCCUGAUAGCAGCGUAAAUCCUUUUUUAUAGGAUACAGCCAUUUAAGGGCUGUUUCCUAUAAAAAAGAUUGAAGCGAAUAGCAGGAAAAAGC
rnacentral:sRNA from 1 species